rnacentral:rRNA from 1 species
AUUGAACGCUGGCGGCAUGCUUUACACAUGCAAGUCGAACGGUAGCAGAUAGAAGCUUGCUUCUAUGCUGACGAGUGGCGCACGGGUGAGUAAUGUAUAGCUAACGUGCUCCUUAGAGGGGGAUAACAGUUGGAAACGGCUGCUAAUACCCCAUACUCCUUCUAUCUUAAUGAUAGUUGGGAAAUGUUUUUUCGCUAAGGGAUCGGGCUAUAUGGUAUCAGCUAGUUGGUGAGGUAAUGGCUCACCAAGGCAAUGACACCUAGCUGGUCUGAGAGGAUGUUCAGCCAACCAGGAACUGAUAGUCGGUCCAGACUCCUGCGGGAGGCAGCAGUGGUGAAUAUUGCACAAUGGGGGGAACCCUGAUGCAGCCACGCCGCGUGGAGUAUCACACAUUUCGGUGCGUAAACUCCUUUUAUAUAGGAAGAUAAUGACGGUACUAUAUGAAUAAGCACCGGCUAACUCCGUGCCAGCCGCCGCCGUAA